rnacentral:lncRNA from 1 species
AGUCAAGAGUAUGUUGAUGCCUUGAGAGGCUACCUGGAACAGAGGCUGGACAGAGUUAAAGGAAUGAAGAAAUCACAGAUCUAGUAUUGCAAAUAGAAAAAAUACAUAAUGGAAUAUCUUACACAAGCUUAAGAAGAUCUUUAAAUAAGCAAGAAUUAUAAACACAAAUUUCAGUGUCUUUCUGGAGCAUUCAUCUGCAUGAGCCUUCUGAGGGCACUUAAACCUACCAAUACAAAACUCCCUUAAGCUCAGAGAAUUCCAAAAUGAAAUAUGUUGACAUUUUUGUAGUGACUUGUGAAAGGAUCCCCCCAAAGUGUCCUACAUUUCUCCUAAAGUGUCCCACACUGGGUGUGAUUCGGCUCAUGAUUUUACACACUGAAAGACCGACAUCCUGCACUGGUCGUCCAGUUACUGGAAAAAGACACAAAUAUUUCCAAGAAGAGGUUUACUCACAGUGUUUUUCCUCCUUGGUUAGAGAUGGAUCAGGAUUAGCUAGCCUGCAGGAGGCAGGAGCUCGUAAAUAUGAUGAUGACAUUUCAAGAUUCAUGGAAGUAAAGAACUCUACAGAAAUUCUUUGUAAAUUGGUUAGAAGUGAUGGGAAAAAGAUCCAACAUAAAAGUUUGUUUUAGAUGCAUUUCCAGAUAUUUAUGUUUCUAAAACACUGUAUUUUGUGCCUCUGUUGGGAAAGACCAGAAGAAAAUGUUAUCUUGAUUUCUUGAAUAUUGCAUGUUACACAUAGAUUAUGCUUCUUCUUAAGUGCAAUAAUUUGUUACAUAGAUUAGAAAGAAUGUGGAAAAUAAAAGUAUAUAUAAGUCCA